GUCUCUUUGAAUAGCUUAUAUAAAGAGUUUGACCUGCCCAGUGAUUGAUUCUUUUUAACGGCCGCAGUACCCUGACUGUGCAAAGGUAGCAUAAUAAUUUGCCUUAUAAUUGAUGGCUAGUAUGAAUGGUUUGACGAGAGCACCCCUGUCUCUAAUGUAUUAUUUAUAAUUUAUUUUUUAAGUUAAAAAGCUUAAAUAAAACUAAAAGACGAGAAGACCCUAUCGAGCUUUAAAAGACUUUUAAGAAUAAUAAAGAAGAUUUAUUCUUAAAAAUAUUUUGGUUGGGGCGACCGAGGAACAAACAAGCUUCCUUAAUUACAAAAAUUGUACAAGAUCCAAUAAUAUAUUGAUAAAUGAAAUUAGUUACCGUAGGGAUAACAGCGUUAUUUUUUCUGAGAGCUCUUAUCAAGGAAAAAGCUUGCGACCUCGAUGUUGGAUUGAGAUAACUUAAGGGUGCAGUAGCUUUUGUAAGUUAGUCUGUUCGACUAUAAAAAUCUCACAU
rnacentral:rRNA from 1 species